rnacentral:rRNA from 1 species
AUGAACGCUAGCGACAGGCCUAACACAUGCAAGUCGAGGGGCAGCACAAGGAGCAUCUGAGGUGGCGACCGGCGCACGGGUGAGUAACACGUAUGCAACCUGCCUGUAAGCGGGGAAUAACCCGUUGGAAAGACGGACUAAUACCGCAUAAUACUAAAUUACUGCAGUGGUAAUUUAUUUAAACAUUUAUGGCUUACAGAUGGGCAUGCGCAUGAUUAGCUAGUUGGAGAGGUAACGGCUCCCCAAGGCAACGAUCAUUAGGGGUUCUGAGAGGAAGGUCCCCCACACUGGUACUGAGACACGGACCAGACUCCUACGGGAGGCAGCAGUGAGGAAUAUUGGUCAAUGGACGAGAGUCUGAACCAGCCAAGUCGCGUGCAGGAAGAAUGUCCUUAAUGGAUUGUAAACUGCUUUUGCAGGGGAAUAAAGUGCAUCACGUGUGAUGUUUUGUAUGUACUCUGCGAAUGAGGAUCGGCUAACUCCGUGCCAGCCGCCGC